GACGAACGCUGGCGGCGUGCUUAACACAUGCGAGUCGAACGGAAAGGCCCUGCUUGCAGGGUGCUCGAGUGGCGAACGGGUGAGUAACACGUGGGUGAUCUGCCCCUUAUUUUGGGAUAAGCCUGGGAAACUGGGCCUAAUACUGGAUAGGACCAUGCUGUAGGUGGUGUGGUGGAAAGAUUAGUUUCGGUAAGGGAUGAGCUCGCGGCCUAUCAGCUUGUUGGUGGGGUAAUGGCCUACCAAGGCGUCGACGGGUAGCCGGCCUGAGAGGGUGGACGGCCACAUUGGGACUGAGAUACGGCCCAGACUCCUACGGGAGGCAGCAGUGGGGAAUAUUGCACAAUGGGCGCAAGCCUGAUGCAGCGACGCCGCGUGGGGGAUGACGGCCUUCGGGUUGUAAACUCCUUUCAGCCAUGACGAAGCCCUUGUGGUGACGGUAGUGGUAGAAGAAGCACCGGCUAACUACGUG
rnacentral:rRNA from 1 species